UUAAAUGGCUGCAGUAAUUUGACUGUACAAAGGUAGCAUAAUCAUUAGUUUUUUAAUUAAAAGCUUGUAUGAAAGGUUGGACGAAGUAGAAUCUGUCUCUUUUUAAUAUUAUUAGAAUUUAAUUUUUAAGUUAAAAAGCUUAAAUUUGUAUAAAAGACGAGAAGACCCUAUAGAGUUUUAUAAUUUUUAUUUUAUAAUUAAUUUAGAUUUAUUUAUUUUAUUUUAUAUAAAUUAUUUUAUUGGGGUAAUAUAAAGAUUAAAAAAAUUCUUUUUUUUAUUAGCCAUUAAUUUAUGAAAUUUUUAUGAUCCAUUGAUUUUGAUUAUAAGAUUAAAUUACCUUAGGGAUAACAGCGUAAUUUUUUUAGAGAGUUCUUAUCGAUAAAAAAGUUUGCGACCUCGAUGUUGGAUUAAAGAUUAAUUUAGGUGUAGAAGUUUAAAUUUUUGGUCUGUUCGACCAUUGAAUCUUUACAUGAUCUGAGUUCAAACCGGUGUAAGCCAGGUCGGUUUCUAUCU
rnacentral:rRNA from 1 species